CAUACGUUUAGGAGGAAGGCUGCUGGACAGAAGACUGUUAUUGUUUUCAGAUACGCUUUUAUCUCAAUAACGAGCUAUCAAUGUGCCCACUGAUGCCCAGAUAGACACCCGCUCUUUCCUGAGUGAGGAAAUGAUUGCUGAGUUCAAGGCUGCUUUCGACACUGAUGGUGGUGGUGAUAUCAGCACCAAGGAGUUAUGAGGAUGCUGGGUCAGAAUCCAACCAGAGAGGAGCUGGAUGCUAUCAUUGAAGUAGUAGAUGAAGAUGACCCUUUUUGUGCCAACGUCACACGUCACAGGAUUAGCUGGAGGCAAAACAAAGGAAUAACUGGAGGCGGCCAAUACAAACCAGCACAGAGUUGGCUACAUUAGGAGCUUAAAAUGUCAUAUUUGAGUGUCAGAAUCGAUGGAGUACAGUCUCCAAUUUGAAAUUUUAUCACAUACCUGCUGCCAUUGCCAGACAAAAAACCGACGACAGCUGUAAUAAGACUGGACUGGACAGAAACG
rnacentral:lncRNA from 1 species